rnacentral:misc_RNA from 1 species
UUUCCGUAGGUGAACCUGCGGAAGAAUCAUUACAGUAGUCGCCUGGGUUGCCGCAAGGCCUCCCGGGUAACCUACCACCCUUUGUUUAUUACACUUUGUUGCUUUGGCAGGCCUGCCCUCGGGCUGCUGGCUCCGGCCGGCGAGCGCUUGCCAGAGGACCUAAACUCUGUUUGUCUAUACUGUCUGAGUACUAUAUAAUAGUUAAAACUUUCAACAACGGAUCUCUUGGUUCUG